rnacentral:ncRNA from 1 species
AAAAAGUUUUAUUUUGGUUUAAAAAUUUGUUAUUAAUUUAUUUUAUAUGUAAAUUUUUGUGUAUUUAAUUAUUAUUUUAAAAAUAAUAAAUAAUAAUUUAAUUGCAGUAAAUAAAUUUAUUUUUUAAAGAAAUUUAGAAAUAGUAAUAUUAUUAAAUAUUGACAAAAUUUGUGCCAGCAGUCGCGGUUAUACAAAUAAUAUAAAUAAAUUUUAUUAGUUUUAGUUAAAUUUUAAAUUAAAAUAACUAAUAAAAUUUAUUAGGUGAAAUUUAUAAAUUUUUAAAUUUAUUUUUUGGGAAUAAUUUAAUCUAAUAAAUUUUUAAGAUAAACUAGGAUUAGAUACCCUAUUAUUUAAAAUGUAAAUAAAAAAACUAAAGUAGUAUUAGUUAUGUUCUUGAAAUUUAAAAAAUUUGGCGGUAUUUUAGUCUUUUCAGAGGAAUUUGUUUUAUAAUCGAUAAUCCGCGAUGGACCUUACUUAAAUUUGUUAAUCAGUUUAUAUACCGUCGUUAUUAGAAUAUUUUAUAAGAAAAAUAAUAUUCAAUUAAUUUAAUAAAAUUUUAUAUCAGAUCAAGGUGUAGCUUAUAUUUAAGAAAAAAUGAAUUACAAUAAAAUUAUUUAAAUGAAUAUAAAUAUGAAAAAUUUAUUGAAAGUGGAUUUGAUAGUAAAUUUAUAAAGAUUAAUAAAUUGAUUUUAGCUCUAAAAUAUGUACACAUCGCCCGUCGCUCUUGUUAUUAAAAUAAGAUAAGUCGUAACAUAGUAGAUGUACUGGAAAGUGUAUCUAGAAUGA